rnacentral:rRNA from 1 species
UACGUAGGUGGCGAGCGUUAUCCGGAUUUAUUGGGUUUAAAGGGUGCGCAGGUUGUUUGAUAAGUCAGUGGUGAAAGUCUGUCGCUUAACGGUAGGAUUGCCAUUGAUACUGUUGGACUUGAAUAUGGAUGAGGUAGGCGGAAUGUGUAGUGUAGCGGUGAAAUGCAUAGAUAUUACACAGAACACCGAUUGCGAAGGCAGCUUACUAAUCCAUCAUUGACGCUGAGGCACGAAAUCGUGGGGAUCAAACAGGA